GAUGAAGGACGUAGCGAAAUGCGAUAAGUAAUGUGAAUUGCAGAAUUCAGUGAAUCAUCGAAUCUUUGAACGCACCUUGCGCCCUUUGGCCAUUCCGAAGGGCAUGCCUGUUUGAGUAUCAUGAACACCUCAACUCUUCAUGGAUUUCCAUGAUGAGCUUGGACUUUGGGGGGCUUGCCGGCCUGUGGUCGGCUCCUCUCAAAUGAAUCAUCUUACCGGUUUUUGGUGGGCAUCACAGGUGUGAUAACUAUCUACGCUUGUGGUUUUCCACCAGGGUAACCUUCAGCAGUGGAGGUUCACUGGAGCUUACAAAUGUCUCUCCUCCGUGAGGACAGCCCUUUGAAUGUUUGAUCUCAAAUCAGGUAGGACUACCCGCUGAACUUAAGCAUAUCAAUAAGCGGAGGA
rnacentral:misc_RNA from 1 species